rnacentral:misc_RNA from 1 species
GUAGGUGAACCUGCGGAAGGAUCAUUAACACAAUACUUUCAAUAUCAACCUCUGAGCACUGACAGACGCUGAGAAUGCGGCCGUUAGGAAGGCAAUGGUUCGAGUUAUUCAGUAAAACGUUUCACUCGGCUCUCCUAGCUGCUCUCCCUUCCCUCCUACUUUUCUGUUCUACGGCAUUGAGGAAAGCAACGCGGGUUUACCUCGCUUGUGGAAGAGGCGAUAGCUGACUCCUUAGAUGAUCACAGCCUGCGCCAUGGCUGGCCCUUUUUUUUUUAACACUACUUGAAUCUAUGUACUGAUUUGGGCUUUCCGGAUCGAGAGGAGCAAUCCUUUCUCCGUUCAGUCCUUUUGAUGGAGAAAUCCAUUCAAUUAACUAAAACACAACCCUUAACAGCGGAUAUCUCGGUUCUC